rnacentral:rRNA from 1 species
GAUGAACGCUGGCGGCGUGCCUAAUACAUGCAAGUCGAGCGGACGGACGCGGCUCUUGCUUCUCUGAUGUUAGCCGAAGAGGGGUGUGUAACGCGUGGAUACCCUACCUAUCUGUCUGGUAUCACUUCGGGAAACCGGAGCUUAUCCGGGAUAAUCUUUUGAACCGCAUGGGUCGAAAGUGAGAGUCGGUGUUGCUGGCACUUCUAGAUGGAUCCGCGCUGGAUGAGGUGGUUGGUGAGGUCAAGGCUUACCAAGGCUACGAGGCGUGGCCGACGUGAGAGAGUGAUAGGCCACCUGGGAACGUAGACACGGACCAGACUCCUACGGGAGGGAGCAGUAGGGAACCUGCCGCAAUGGGCGAGAGCCUGACGGAGCAACGCGGCGUGAGUGAUGACGGUCUUCGGUGCGUAAAACUCUGUUACUAGGGAAGAACAGAUGUGUAAGUAACUGUGCACAUCGUGACGGUACUUAAUCAGAAAGCAACGGCUAACUACGUG